UAAAGUGAAAACUGACGUGAAAUCC
rnacentral:piRNA from 1 species